CGGUGAGGUAACCUUUUGGAGCCAGCCGCCUAAGGUGGGACAGAUGAUUGGGGUGAAGUCGUAACAAGGUAGCCGUAUCGGAAGGUGCGGCUGGAUCACCUCCUUUCUAAGGAAAAACGGAAUGUACUUGAGUUUCUUAUUUAGUUUUGAGAGGUCUUGUGGGGCCUUAGCUCAGCUGGGAGAGCGCCUGCUUUGCACGCAGGAGGUCAGCGGUUCGAUCCCGCUAGGCUCCAUUGAAUCGAAAGAUUCAAGUAUUGUCCAUUGAAAAUUGAAUAUCUAUAUCAAAUUCCAUAUGUAAGUAAUUACAUAUAGAUAGUAACAAGAAAAUAAACCGAAACGCUGUGAAUAUUUAAUGAGUUAGGUCGAAAGGCCAAAAUAAGGUUAAGUUAAUAAGGGCGCACGGUGGAUGCCUUGGCACUAGAAGCCGAUGAAGGACGUGACUAACGACGAAAUGCUUUGGGGAGCUGUAAGUGAGCAAUGAUCCAGAGAUGUCCGAAUGGGGGAACCC
rnacentral:misc_RNA from 1 species